GUGGGGAAUAUUGGACAAUGGGCGCAAGCCUGAUCCAGCCAUGCCGCGUGAGUGAUGAAGGCCUUAGGGUUGUAAAGCUCUUUCAGUGGGGACGAUAAUGACGGUACCCACAGAAGAAGCCCCGGCUAACUUCGUGCCAGCAGCCGCGGUAAUACGAAGGGGGCUAGCGUUGUUCGGAUUUACUGGGCGUAAAGCGCACGUAGGCGGAUCGUUAAGUCGAGGGUGAAAUCCUGGAGCUCAACUCCAGAACUGCCUUCGAUACUGGCGAUCUUGAGUCCGGAAGAGGUGAGUGGAACUCCUAGUGUAGAGGUGGAAUUCGUAGAUAUUAGGAAGAACACCAGUGGCGAAGGCGGCUCACUGGUCCGGUACUGACGCUGAGGUGCGAAAGCGUGGGGAGCAAACAGGAUUAGAAACCCUAGUAGUCC
rnacentral:rRNA from 1 species